rnacentral:rRNA from 1 species
GUAGGCGGCUUUUUUAAGUCAGGGGUGAAAGACGGUAGCUCAACUAUCGCAGUGCCCUUGAUACUGAAGAGCUUGAAUGAACUAGAGGUAGGCGGAAUGUGACAAGUAGCGGUGAAAUGCAUAGAUAUGUCACAGAACACCGAUUGCGAAGGCAGCUUACUAUGGUUUAAUUGACGCUGAGGCACGAAAGCGUGGGGAUCAAACAGGAUUAGAUACCCUGGUAGUCCACGCCCUAAACGAUGAAUACUCGCUGUUAGCGAUACACAGUUAGCGGCUAAGCGAAAGCGUUAAGUAUUCCACCUGGGGAGUACGGUCGCAAGAUUGAAACUCAAAGGAAUUGACGGGGGCCCGCACAAGCGGAGGAGCAUGUGGUUUAAUUCGAUGAUACGCGAGGAACCUUACCCGGGCUUGAAAGUUAGUGAAUCAUUUAGAGAUAGAUGAGUGAGCAAUCACACGAAACUAGGUGCUGCAUGGCUGUCGUCAGCUCGUGCCGUGAGGUGUUGGGUUAAGUCCCGCAACGAGCGCAACCCCUAUGUUUAGUUGCCAGCACGUUAAGGUGGGGACUCUAAACAGACUGCCUGUGCAAACAGAGAGGAAGGAGGGGACGACGUCAAGUCAUCAUGGCCCUUACGUCCGGGGCUACACACGUGCUACAAUGGAUGGUACAGAGGGCAGCAAGCUGGCAACAGCAAGCGAAUCUCCAAAAGCCAUUCACAGUUCGGAUAGAGGUCUGCAACUCGACCUCUUGAAGUUGGAUUCGCUAGCAAUCGCAUAUCAGCAAUGAUGCGGUGAAUACGUUCCCGGGCCUUGUACA